AAAGAUCGGGGACGGUAUACAUUUUUGAUAAAAAGAUACUUUGGGAUGAUUUUGUGAAGCAAAUCAUAUUAGGUCGGUGCAGUCACGAUUAUUUAUGAAGCAAGCUUAUGUAAACAAGAAAAUAAAUUAUCUAGUGAUAAUUAGGUGACCACAUGAGAAAGCAUCAUCCGUACCGAUUCGUAUUAUUAAAUCGAUAGUGAUAGCCCCAUUUAACAAACUGACACUACUAGAAAAAU
rnacentral:lncRNA from 1 species